rnacentral:snRNA from 1 species
AUACUCUGGUUUCUUUUCAGAUCGCAUAAAUCUUUCGCCUUUUACUAAAGAUUUUCGAGGAGAGGAACAAUUAUGAGUCUUGAGUCAGUUUUUUGAGGCUUCAUUCCACGAGGCU